GUCAUUCAGGCCCUACCAAGUCAAAAUAAAAAGGAACAGAACAGCUUAAAUGAAGACCCCUAUCCCACAGUCGGGACAAAGUAAGACUAUGGCCUAAGCUAGCAACAACAUCAGCAGUAAAGUUAGCCUCCUGAAAAAUGUGCUGAAAAGAAAUCUCCUCGCAAUAAGAACUAAGCACUUGAAUGUCUUGCACAAGGAGACUUAUGCUCCAUGGAACCGAAACCAGAUUGUUAACACAAUCAAUGAUGAGUUUUGAGUCACCUUCCACCAGGAUCCUUCGCUAACCCUUAUGAAUAGCAUGAGCCAGGCCAUCCCGAAGAGCCAAACACUCUGCAACUGUAAUUGAAACUUGAUCGGAGUUUUUAGCGCCAGCUAAAUGAACAUUACCAUUCCAGUCACGAAUCACAAAACCAGCAGCAGCC
rnacentral:lncRNA from 1 species